rnacentral:rRNA from 1 species
ACGGAGGGUGCGAGCGUUAAUCGGAAUUACUGGGCGUAAAGCGCAUGCAGGCGGUUUGUUAAGCAAGAUGUGAAAGCCCCGGGCUCAACCUGGGAACCGCAUUUUGAACUGGCAGGCUAGAGUCUUGUAGAGGGGGGUAGAAUUUCAGGUGUAGCGGUGAAAUGCGUAGAGAUCUGAAGGAAUACCGGUGGCGAAGGCGGCCCCCUGGACAAAGACUGACGCUCAGAUGCGAAAGCGUGGGGAGCAAACAGG